GGAUAGCUCAGCUGGUUAGAGUGUGGUGCUGAUAACACUGAGGUUGCAAGUUCAGUCCCUGCAAGGGACA